CCUACGGGAGGCUGCAGUGGGGAAUAUUGGACAAUGGGGGCAACCCUGAUCCAGCCAUGCCGCGUGUGUGAAGAAGGCCCUCGGGUUGUAAAGCACUUUCAGUGAGGAAGAACGCCUGGUGGUUAAUACCCAUCAGGAAAGACAUCACUCACAGAAGAAGCACCGGCUAACUCCGUGCCAGCAGCCGCGGUAAUACGGAGGGUGCGAGCGUUAAUCGGAAUUACUGGGCGUAAAGCGCGCGUAGGUGGCUUGAUAAGCCGGUUGUGAAAGCCCCGGGCUCAACCUGGGAACGGCAUCCGGAACUGUCAAGCUAGAGGGCAGGAGAGGAAGGUAGAAUUCCCGGUGUAGCGGUGAAAUGCGUAGAGGUCGGGAGGAAUACCAGUGGCGAAGGCGGCCUUCUGGACUGAAACUGACACUGAGGUGCGAAAGCGUGGGUAGCAAACAGGAUUAGAUACCCCAGUAGUC
rnacentral:rRNA from 1 species